rnacentral:rRNA from 1 species
AGUGAACGCUGGCGGUAGGCCUAACACAUGCAAGUCGAACGGCAGCACAGUAAGAGCGUGCUCUGACGGGUGGCGAGUGGCGGACGGGUGAGGAAUACAUCGGAAUCUACUUUUUCGUGGGGGAUAACGUAGGGAAACUUACGCUAAUACCGCAUACGACCUACGGGGGGAAGCAGGGGAUCUUCGGAGCUUGCGCGAUUGAAUGAGCCGAUGUCGGAUUAGCUAGUGGGCGGGGGAAAGGCCCACCAAGGCGACGAUCCGGAGCUGGUCUGAGAGGCUGGUCAGCCACCCUGGAGCUUGACCACCGUCCUUGGUCCUGCGGGAGGCCGCAGUGUGGAACAUUGGACAAUGGGGGGAAGCCUGAUCCAGCCAUACCGCGUGGGUGACGACGGCCCUCGGGUUGUGAAGCCCUUUUGUUGGGAAAGAACCGCAGCCGGUUAAUACCCCGCUGUUCUGACGGUACCCAAAGAAUAAGCACCGGCUAACUUCGUG